AGCGGCCCAGGGGCGCUUCCAGCUCGUCUCCAACCUCUCGGUCGGGCUCAUCUUCUUCCUGGGUUUCACUGUCCUCUACGGCCUCAAGUGACAGCAGGGCUGGGCAGCCACCGGGGCACCCACCCAGCCCCACUGCUGCGGCGGGACGGAGUGUCACCAGUGGGCAUGGCGUCUGGCUGGGGGAUGUCCCCUGCACCCACGCAGUUGGCAGGCACCGUGCGCGGGGUCUGCUCCUCAGGCUGUGACAUUUCCCCUCUGUCGGUGUGACCUUCAGAGAUGGCGCGCAACCGGCAGGCUCCGUGUGUGGGCUCUGCUCUGUGGGCUGUGACCUGACCCCUCGGCCGGUGUGACCUUUAGACACGGAGUGCAACUGGCAGGCACAGUACGUGGCUGUGAUGUGACCUCCACACAAGUGCGACCUGCAGACAGCGUGUGACCACUGGAUACCACGUGUGGGCUCUGCUCCGCAGGCUGCGAUGUGCCCCCGCUGCCAGCGUGACCUUGCAGAUGUGGUGUAGGGGCUCAACAGGCUGCGAUGUGCCCCCUCUGCUGAUACGACCUGCAGACACAGUGCCUGACAGGGCUUGCCUCGCUGUGUGGCGAGUACAGAAGUCUUUCCUUCAGCAGCCUGGAAGAAUGAAGCCUGGGCCCGUGGCGGCUCAUGUCCUGGUCAGCAUACAACAUCGCCUGGAGGUACUGCCCAAAACAUUUCUGUGUUCAGAACAGCCUGCCCUGUCUAGGGCUUGCCCGGAACUUUGCACAAGACAAUCCCACACAGGCCUUCGUGGCUGGGAGUGGUACACUUCUGACACUGAGUGGCAUUACUUGUGUCUAAGCAUCAUUUGCACAUAAAAGUAUUUGCCUAUUUAAGUAUUGAAGUGCUUUAAGAACUAAAGAUUGUGUCUCUCAGAGCUUCUGACUUUCCUUGGGUGAAGAUUUUACCUGUGCUAUGCUGGUACUACACGGAGUGAGUGAAGCUUCAUGGUAUUGAACUCCGUGCCAAAGACUUCAUCUGCAUUACUUCGCACUGGAUUUGCUGGGCCUGGCUGGCAGCAGUCUGCGCAGGAGCCAAGCCCUCACCCCUCACUGCAGUGACCCUGGGUUAUGUUUUCUCUCAACACAAAAACGUUAAAAGCAAAUGCCCCGUGUUUUCCAGCUGCAGAGUUCUGUGAUACUGAACUGAGCCUGAGGCGGUAGCGUGGCAGGGAGUGUUAAUGUCUACUGGUACUGGGUAUAUGCUGUACAGGAGAGCUUUCUGCCUUUUCUGGAAAGCAUUGUACCACUUCCAGCUGCAGACUCCGGAGACUGCUGCGUGUUUGGAGCAAAUUCAGCCCAGGGGCAGAGAGAGAGCUUUCCAGGAUCCUCUCUGGCUGUCAGUCCAUCCGUCUGUGUGGGAUUAUAGUGCUGAAAUGUCAGCAUGUGAAGAGCAGGAGCCUGGCGUUCAAGGGCAUUGGUUACAGAGUGAAAACCUCUGGAGUUGCGGCUCUGUGUCACAUGCUGAUGCAUUUUCGUGCUAUAAACCAAGUCACUUGAAAGACCAGAGGUGGCUUCUUUGGCAGAGUUUGGCAGGAAACGUUCUCUUCCAGGCUGGAAAAGCUAGGGAUGUCCAUGGGAAGCAGUGGGUACUAGGGAGCACCUCUCUAGUUCCUGGUGUCGUGGCUUGCAGGUUUUAAGACAGCCCUGCCCAACACGAGGUGUCCUCUGGAUUGAUCUUUCUUAAAUCUGUGUAGUGCUGAGGCCUGGGGCUGUGGGCUGUUCCCGCGGGCAGGCUCUGUACGCAGCCCUGAGCCAGCUUCCUGGCAGAGAGAGGGUCUGGUGCAGUGCAGUGUGGAGCAGGAAGAACAGGCUAGCUGGUGUGCUGCCUGCAUUGCUUUGCCCCCUAACACCGGGACAGGGAAGAGCUGCUCCAGUAAGCCGGCUGGGCUGACUCUCCUGCUCUGUGUCUGGUGCUUGUGUCUGAAAUUGGGGGGGUGAAGUACGCAGGCACCAAAACCGAGCUAAUCCACAUGCAUUUCAAUGGGUGGUUUGGGCAGUUUAUAUUACUGGUUCUUCCUCUUCUUGCUCAGGUCUCCAUGAUGUAGCUUGAACAUAAAAGAUAUCCAGCC